rnacentral:rRNA from 1 species
CCUACGGGUGGCAGCAGUAGGGAAUCUUCCACAAUGGGCGAAAGCCUGAUGGAGCAACGCCGCGUGGGUGAAGAAGGUCUUCGGAUCGUAAACUCCUUUUGUUAGAGAAGAUAAUGACGGUAUCUAACGAAUAAGCACCGGCUAACUCCGUGCCAGCAGCCGCGGUAAUACGGAGGGUGCAAGCGUUACUCGGAAUCACUGGGCGUAAAGAGCGCGUAGGCGGGAUAGCAAGGCAGAUGUGAAAUCCUAUGGCGUAACCAUAGAACUGCAUUUGAAACUGUUAUUCUAGAGUAUGGGAGAGGUAGGUGGAAUUCUUGGUCUAGGGGUAAAAUCCGUAGAGAUCAAGAGGAAUACUCAUUGCGAAGGCGACCUGCUAGAACAUAACUGACGCUGAUGCGCGAAAGCGUGGGGAGCAAACAGGAUUAGAUACCCCUGUAGUC